UACAGAGGUCCCAAGCGUUGUUCGGAUUCAUUGGGCGUAAAGGGUGCGUAGGUGGCGCUGUAAGUCGGGUGUGAAAUUUCGGAGCUUAACUCCGAAACUGCAUUCGAUACUGCGGUGCUUGAGGACUGGAGAGGAGACUGGAAUUCAUGGUGUAGCAGUGAAAUGCGUAGAGAUCAUGAGGAAGACCAGUGGCGAAGGCGGGUCUCUGGGCCGUAACUGACGCUGAGGAGCGAAAGCAUGGGGAGCGAACAGG
rnacentral:rRNA from 1 species